UGAGAGGGUAUUGAAUCACGAAAGAAACGGCCCAACCCAUGGGUACGAGUCCUUAGAGCCUUGAACAAAGAAAGAACAUCUCACAAGCCAUUGGACUGGCCCCUUCUUUUGCAAGACAAAGAGGUUGAAGGUCUUCAACUUUUAAAAGAUGAUUAGUGGUUCAAAGUUUCGAUUGUUCAUGAUGCUCUAGCCAUCAACGUUGGUGAUCAAAUUGAGAGUUGAAGAGUUGAAGCCGGUACUCAUUAUCAACG